AGCGCAGUUGGGCAAACCCGGAGCGAUCCGGCGACGCAAAACUAUAGGGACUCCCCUGCGGGAGUUCGCCAGUUGCCCGC
rnacentral:ncRNA from 1 species